rnacentral:rRNA from 1 species
CGAAGGAUCCAAGCGUUGUCCGGAUUUACUGGGUUUAAAGGGUGCGUAGGCGGACUUUUAAGUCAGUGGUGAAAGCUUGCAGCUUAACUGUAAAAUUGCCAUUGAAACUGAAAGUCUCGAGUGUGGUUGAGGUAACUGGAAUAUAUCAUGUAGCGGUGAAAUGCUUAGAUAUGAUAUAGAACACCAAUUGCGAAGGCAGGUUACUGAGCCACAACUGACGCUGAGGCACGAAAGCGUGGGGAUCAAACAGGAUUAGAUACCCUGGUAGUCCACGCCGUAAACGUUGAAUACUCGAUCUUAGCGAUACACAGUUAGGAUCCAAGCGAAGGCGUUAAGUAUUCCACCUGGGAAGUACGUUCGCAAGAAUG